UUCCGCAUGGGGAUUCUACUAAAGGUGGCCUCUACUUGUAAGCUAUUGCUUUACGAUGGGUCUGCGUCUGAUUAGCUAGUUGGUGGGGUAACGGCCUACCAAGGCGACGAUCAGUAGCCGGUCUGAGAGGAUGAACGGCCACAUUGGAACUGAGACACGGUCCAGACUCCUACGGGAGGCAGCAGUGGGGAAUCUUCCGCAAUGGGCGCAAGCCUGACGGAGCAACGCCGCGUGAGUGAAGAAGGGUUUCGACUCGUAAAGCUCUGUUGUCGGGGACGAAUGUGGAGAUGGUGAAUAACCAUUUCCAAUGACGGUACCUGACGAGGAAGCCACGGCUAACUACGUGCCAGCAGCCGCGGUAAUACGUAGGUGGCGAGCGUUGUCCGGAAUUAUUGGGCGUAAAGGGAGCGCAGGCGGGAAGGUAAGUCUAUCUUAAAAGUGCGGGGCUCAACCCCGUGAGGGGAUGGAAACUAUCUUUCUUGAGUGCAGGAGAGGAAAGCGGAAUUCCUAGUGUAGCGGUGAAAUGCGUAGAUAUUAGGAGGAACACCAGUGGCGAAGGCGGCUUUCUGGACUGUAACUGACGCUGAGGCUCGAAAGCGUGGGGAGCGAACAGGAUUAGAUACCCUGGUAGUCCACGCCGUAAACGAUGAAUGCUAGGUGUAGGAGGUAUCGACCCCUUCUGUGCCGGAGUUAACGCAAUAAGCAUUCCGCCUGGGGAGUAC
rnacentral:rRNA from 1 species